rnacentral:rRNA from 1 species
CAAGUAAACAACGCAGACAGUGAAUGCCUUGCUUUUCGUCUCCGAUGAAGGACGUACAUAGCCACGAAAGUCGCCGGUUAGCUGCUACGAAGCUUUGACCCGACGGUGUCCGAAUGGGGAAACCCAUCCCGCUUUGCGGGAUACCUUGAAGCCAAGUUCUUGACGUAAGUUGAGAUAUAACUUUAAGUGUGGAAACCACCUGAACUGAAACAUCUAAGUAAGGUGAGGAAAAUAAAUCAAACGAGAUUCCGUUAGUAGCGGCGAGCGAAAACGGAACAGUCUAAACCCAAUACCACUUCGGUGGUAAUGGGGGUUGCAGGACUCUAAUGUGAGAUCUCUAUUUUAGUAGUAGAACGGUCUGGAAUGUCCGAUCAAAGAAAGUGAAAAUCUUGUAUACAAAACUAAAGUAGGCUCUAGGAGUAUCCUAAGUACUACGGAGCACAUACUCUGUGGGAAUCCGGGGGAACCAUCCUCCAAGACUAAAUAAGACGAAAGAGCGAUAGUGAACUAGUACCGUGAGGGAAAGGUGAAAAGCUGGGUGAGACACCCAAUGAAAUAGAACCUGAAACUGUUUGCGGUCAAACCGUGAGAGCACCAAUUUAUUGGUGUGAUCGCGUGCCUAUUGAAGAAUGAGCCGGCGAGUUUUCAGUUACUUCUUAUGUCUAACUCCGAUUUUGGAGGCAGGCGAAGGGAAACCAAGUGUGAAUAGCGCGUUGGGAGUAACUGGAAGACCCGAAUCUGGGUGAGCUAAUCAUGAGCAGGGUGAAUGCCAGAGAAAUCUGUCAGGAGGCCCGAACCCGUUGUCGUUGCAAUGACAUGGGACGACUUGUGAUUAGGGGCAAUAUACUUAUCGAACCCAGGUAUAGCUGGUUCUCCCCGAAAGGUCUAUGGGGACCGUGGUCCGUCACGUUCUGCUGGUUGUAGAGCACUGGAUGGGUUGGAGAGCGCAAGCAAUUCAACUCAAUCAAACUCCGAAUACUAGCGUGAAUUAUCGGACUAGAAAGCCGCAUCGGGCUAAGCUGAUGCGACGAAAGGGAAACAACCCUUGACUCUCAGUUAAGGCCUCUAAAU